rfam:Erinaceus europaeus unplaced genomic scaffold scaffold00912, whole genome shotgun sequence
GGAUGUGAGGGCAACCAGGUCAUGACAUCUCAAACACUGUUGCUGACCAGUGUUCAUUUGGCUGCUCUGGCUGGCUAGGCAGGUCCCCAUCCCCCUCACUACUCCAUGUGAAGCAGCUUGUUCAUUCAAAGAGGAUAAACUUUUCCAACUGGAAGCAGAUCUGCCUUCCUUUGACUGUCUAUGAGUACCUGUGCUUGCCUGCUAGGACCUCCAAGCAAGCUCUCCUGGUCUAGAAGAGAACUGCCCCCCACCCCAGAACCUUGAAGCUGAGGUGCCAGGGCUUGCAGAAGAUGGCACACAAUAGAUCCCCCUCUACAGCACUAUGGCAUUCAACUCUGGGAGCACAAGCCAGCCUGCUGUUCCUC